rnacentral:rRNA from 1 species
GACGUAGGGCGCGAGCGUUGUCCGGAUUUAUUGGGCGUAAAGAGCUCGUAGGCGGCUUGUCGCGUCGUCCGUGAAAACCCACAGCUCAACUGUGGGCUUGCGGUCGAUACGGGCAGGCUAGAGUUCGGCAGGGGAGACUGGAAUUCCUGGUGUAGCGGUGAAAUGCGCAGAUAUCAGGAGGAACACCGGUGGCGAAGGCGGGUCUCUGGGCCGAUACUGACGCUGAGGAGCGAAAGCGUGGGGAGCGAACAGG